CGACAAGACAUCUUCAACUCAAGGACCAUAGAAAGCAACAAGGAACAACAAAGGACUAUAGAGAUUCACAAAGAGCAACGAGGCAACACCCCAACCUUUACGGUUGUGAUCAUUAUAAGCGAAGCGGACAAGAGGAGAAUUCACGUAACCCCAGACUGUUCCUCGUGCCAGACACUUAUAUAUUUCAAAGCAUAAUUAUUUGAACGAUUUAAAAACGGAUGAAACAUGUGGUACAGGAUCAUACGAUCCAGUUUACCAGUGACGCUCAAGGCAACAUCAGGAGCGGUCGAUUUCAGUUUUUUGCAGGAAAACACUGUAUAGCGUAAUAUUCAGACUGUUUAAGCAAUAUGAAACUGCAGCUUGGGUUACUCCCAAUUGUUUUGCCAACUCCAUUGGCAGCUAUAUCCGGGUCUUCAUGGAUCAAGCGCACUAAUUCUUCAUUUUCCCAAUUUUUACAUGGUCUUCUUGAAGUAGGUCUUUCUAAAUUGAAAUCACCACUCCUAAAGUAUCUAUACCACUUUUCACAUGAAGAUAUGGAUAUAAUACCAUGGCUAUAAGCUUGUGAGAGAAUUCGGUGUGCCUCAGAAGCGAAUUUUUUACUAUUAAAAUAAUAAAGUAACACCUCCCGCAAAUGACGAGUAGUAGGCUUAUAAUUUGACAUUUCUAAUUUGAAAUAACUAUAUGAUGUAAACACAAGUCAACUACUGAUACUACCAAGUUAUCUUCACAAAAUGUUAAAGAGUAUUGCAAGCUGUCUAUAAUGUAUGUAUUCGACGUCUACUUGUCGCUAAUGCCAUCUACAGAAAAGCUAUAUAUUAUAUAUAUACAUGUCUAUACAUAAUAUAUAUUACUAUUACAUUUAAUAUAUAAGGGAAGUUCACGUAGCGUGACAAUAUCA